rnacentral:tRNA from 1 species
GAGGGUGUAGCUCAGUGGUAGAGUGCGUGCCAGGCACGCACAAGGUCCUGGGUUCAACCCCCAGUACCUCCA